rnacentral:rRNA from 1 species
CCUACGGGUGGCAGCAGUGGGGAAUAUUGCACAAUGGGGGAAACCCUGAUGCAGCGACGCCGCGUGAGUGAAGAAGUAUUUCGGUAUGUAAAGCUCUAUCAGCAGGGAAGAAGAAAGACGGUACCUGACUAAGAAGCCCCGCCUAACUACGUGCCAGCAGCCGCGGUAAUCCGUAGGGGGCAAGCGUUAUCCGGUUUUACUGGGUGUAAGGGGAGCGUAGACGGCUGUGCAAGUCGGAAGUGAAAGCCCAGGGCUCAACCCUGGGCCUGCUUUGGAAACUGUGGGGCUAGAGUGCUGGAGAGGUAAGUGGAAUUCCUAGUGUAGCGGUGAAAUGCGUAGAUAUUAGGAGGAACACCAGUGGCGAAGGCGGCUUACUGGACAGUAACUGACGUUGAGGCUCGAAAGCGUGGGGAGCAAACAGGAUUAGAUACCCUGGUAGUC